CUUGAACGCUGGCGGCAUGCUUUACACAUGCAAGUCGAACGGCAGCGGGGACUUCGGUCCGCCGGCGAGUGGCGAACGGGUGAGUAAUGCAUCGGAACGUGCCUAUCAGUGGGGGAUAACGCUUCGAAAGGAGUGCUAAUACCGCAUAUUCUCCGAGGAGGAAAGCAGGGGACCUUCGGGCCUUGCGCUGAUAGGGCGGCCGAUGUCGGAUUAGCUAGUUGGUGAGGUAAAGGCUCACCAAGGCGACGAUCCGUAGCGGGUCUGAGAGGAUGAGCCGCCACACUGGGACUGAGACACGGCCCAGACUCCUACGGGGGGCAGCAGUGGGGAAUUUUGGACAAUGGGCGAAAGCCUGAUCCAGCCAUGCCGCGUGAGUGAAGAAGGCCUUCGGGUUGUAAAGCUCUUUUGUCCGGGAGGAAAUCCUGGCCUCUAAUACAGGUCGGGGAUGACAGUACUGGAAGAAUAAGCACCGGCUAACUACGUGCCAGCAGCCGCCGUAACAC
rnacentral:rRNA from 1 species